UCAAAAUAUACCGUAAAUAUGGAGAGACUCAUAACACUGAUGUAUUGCACUAGAUCUGGCAACUCUAAUUAUUAGAGAAACUGUUUUGUUCGAAGCGGAAAUUCUAUUUUCAAUUUUGUUGCCUAGUGUAAUUGGUUGCUCCUCACUCCAAAACGUGGAAGAUACAUAUGUAUGUACGUAUUGAAGAUGCGAAGAAUUUGGCGAAAAGGGACCCUCCGUUUAGAUGAUAAAUGAUCAACAAAGUCUUUCCAGUGCAUUUGAUUAACACAUUUCGGGCACAGCGAUUUCCAGCUUCAGCUUCAGCUGGAAGUCCAAAAUCCAAAAUUGAAUCAAAAAUGGUUUAAAUCGUUUUGUUUAAUUUAUUUGUUUCAUUUCCACAUUCUCACUGGUUGCUGUUUGUUUUGUGCUUGUUCUUUUAUACGUAUAUUUUAUAUUGAUAAUUUACAACUUACGGAGCUAGCAUAGAAUGGCUUUAAAUUAGAGUUACAUACGAGUAGGUUAAGUAUAAACGGAGUGUUGGCGGGGCCCGAGUGAUCGGAGAUCUGGACCCCCCUUAUGCGGGGGGAUGGGGAAGUAGAG